UUUCCUUAACAAAUUGAGGUACUAGGAAUUUUAAACCCCACAUGUUUCCCAAAGUUAUGUAAACCAAGAGGCACCCAGAUGCUCACGUAAGAGCAGAGGGAAAAUCCCUUUUGGGAAUAUGUGCCUGGCCCAUGGGUGCAAUGGGCUGCCAAGCAGUGUUAUUCAAACUGUGACGUGCAACAGGCUGAGAUAGCAAAAGCCCAGGGCAAGGAGAAUGAGGUGAAGGUGUAAAGUGACACACUGUUCUUUUUCUUUUUCCCCAGGUGGGCCUUGGGAAAAUUACAAUAUACAACAGCUGUGCCUUCCAAAUCAAGAGUCAAGCUCUCCUGUGCAUGAGCUCACACAGGCACCAGAAAGAGGUCUACAUGACAACAAGUAUCAAAAGAAGAAAGAGGGAACAAAACAGUCACCAACUGGAAUUUGACAGCUAAGCACUGCUAGUCUGUGCUUCAUCUAAGCUGGCAGCCUUCUUGCUGAAGUCAAGGUCACCAGGAGUAGCACAGUACGGUGAAGAGGCAAUUAAAGCACACAGGAGCCACCCGGGCACUCACAGCAGGACAAACACUGUGGGGUUUUCAGGAAGCACUUGCACAACAGCCGAUACCAGGGCCUGUGAGCUGUGCUGGGGAUUUUGUGCCGGGGAUUUUCCACCAGCUCUGCCUAUUCCAGAUUUUCAUCUGGGUGCAUUUUCCCACAAAGAUGUAGUCUCAGAAGUGCCAUCUUCACUGCUUAGUCACUCAGGUAAAGAAAAUAGUUCGAGCAUGGUUCUCAUGCUGCCUCCUUCCUACCAGGCACUUGGCUUUAUCUUGCAUUAUAAGUGAGACUAAAUCUUUUUGAAAACCUAUGUGUCAGCACUGAAUUAUUUAUAGUCAUGUCAAACAUUCCUGAGUAUAUGGAUAAAACCCAGGAUAAAGUAUCCUAGUGCGCCACUGAUGACAAAAAAGUGUCGUGCCAGUCAGAGGGCCAGCCUUGAUGUGGUGCAGACA
rnacentral:lncRNA from 1 species